rnacentral:rRNA from 1 species
CGGUCUGAUGCAGCGACGCCGCGUGAGUGAAGAAGUAUUUCGGUAUGUAAAGCUCUAUCAGCAGGGAAGAAAAUGACGGUACCUGACUAAGAAGCACCGGCUAAAUACGUGCCAGCAGCCGCGGUAAUACGUAUGGUGCAAGCGUUAUCCGGAUUUACUGGGGUGUAAAGGGAGCGUAGGUGGCAAGGCAAGCCAGAAGUGAAAACCCGGGGCUCAACCGCGGGAUUGCUUUUGGAACUGUCAUGCUAGAGUGCAGGAGGGGUGAGCGGAAUUCCUAGUGUAGCGGUGAAAUGCGUAGAUAUUAGGAGGAACACCGGAGGCGAAGGCGGCUCACUGGACUGUAACUGACACUGAGGCUCGAAAGCGUGGGGAGCAAACAGGAUUAGAUACCCUGGUAGUCCACGCGGUAAACGAUGAAUACUAGAUGUCGGGUAGCACAGCUAUUCGGUGUCGUCGCAAACGCAAUAAGUAUUCCACCUGGGGAGUACGUUCGCAAGAAUGAAACUCAAAGGAAUUGACGGGGAA